rnacentral:rRNA from 1 species
AUUGAACGCUAGCGGCAUGCUUAACACAUGCAAGUCGUGCGGCAGCGCGGGGCAACCUGGCGGCGAGCGGCGGACGGGUGAGUAAUACGUAGGAAUCUGCCUUAUAGUGGGGGACAACCCGGGGAAACUCGGGCUAAUGCCGCAUAAUCUCUAAGGAGCAAAGUAGGGGACCUUCGGGCCUUACGCUAUAAGAUGAGCCUGCGUCGGAUUAGCUAGUUGGUGGGGUAAAGGCCUACCAAGGCGACGAUCCGUAGCUGGUCUGAGAGGACGAUCAGCCACACUGGGACUGAGACACGGCCCAGACACCUACGGGUGGCAGCAGUCGAGAAUUUUUCUCAAUGGGGCAACCCUGAAGGAGCGACGCCGCGUGGAGGAUGAAGGCUUUUCGGGUUGUAAACUCCUGUCAUUUGAGAACGAAGGGGCCGAAGCGUAACUACUUCGGCCUUGAUAGU